UACGUAGGUGACAAGCGUUGUCCGGAUUUACUGGGCGUAAAGAGCGCGCAGGCGGUCGAUCAAGUCGAGUGUGAAAGCCCCCGGCUCAACUGGGGAGGGUCAUUGGAAACUGGGGAACUUGAGUGCAGAAGAGAAAAGCGGAAUUCCACGUGUAGCGGUGAAAUGCGUAGAGAUGUGGAGGAACACCAGUGGCGAAGGCGGCUUUUUGGUCUGUAACUGACGCUGAGGCGCGAAAGCGUGGGGAGCAAACAGG
rnacentral:rRNA from 1 species